UACGUAGGGGCCAAGCGUUUGUCCGGAUUUAUUGGGCGUAAAGAGCUCGUAGGCGGUUCGGCAAGUCAGCUGUGAAAUCUCCACGCUCAACGUGGAGGGGUCAGCUGAUACUGCUGUGACUUGAGUCCGGUAGGGGAGUGUGGAAUUCCCGGUGUAGCGGUGAAAUGCGCAGAUAUCAGGAGGAACACCGGUGGCGAAGGCGGGUCUCUGGGCAACAACUGACGCUGAGGAGCGAAAGCGUGGGGGAGCGAACAGG
rnacentral:rRNA from 1 species